GACGAACGCUGGCGGCGUGCUUAACACAUGCAAGUCGAACGGAAAGGCCCCUUUGGUUGUUCUCUAGUGGCGAACGGGUGAGUAGCACGUUAGUAACCUGCCCUUGGCUUCGUGAUAACUUCAGACAACUGGGGCUAAUACCGAAUAGGAAUCCUUGCUGCAUGUCGAGGGUUGUGAAGCUUCGGGGGUUUUGGAUGGACUCGCGGCUUAUCAGCUUGUUGGUGGGGUAGUGGCUUACCAAGGCUUUGACGGGUAGCCGGCCUUAGAGGGCGACCGGCCACAUUGGGACUGAGAUACGGCCCAGACUCCUACGGGAGGCAGAAGUGGGGAAUAUUGCACAAUGGGCGGAAGCCUGAUGAAGCAACGCCGCGUGCGGGAUGACGGCCUUCGGGUUGUAAACCGCUUUCAGCAGGGGCGAAGCUUGUGGUGACGGUACCUGCGGAAGAAGCACCGGCUAACUCCGUG
rnacentral:rRNA from 1 species